AUUGAACGCUGGCGGCAGGCCUAACACAUGCAAGUCGCACGAGUGGCGGACGGGUGAGUAAUGUCUGGGAAACUGCCUGAUGGAGGGGGAUAACUACUGGAAACGGUAGCUAAUACCGCAUAUACUAAGAUGUGCCCAGAUGGGAUUAGCCAGUUUGUGGGGUAAUGGUUCACCAAGGCGACGAUCCCUAGCUGGUCUGAGAGGGUGACCUGCCACACUGGAGCUGAGACACGGCCCAGACGCGUACGGGAGGCAGCAGUGGGGAAUAUGGCACGAUGGGCUGAAGCCUGAUACAGAAAUGCCGCGUGUAUGAAGAAGGACUGCGGGUUGUAAAGUACUUUCAGCGGGGAGGCGUUACCCGCAGAAGAAGCACCGGCUAACUCCGUGCCAGCAGCCGCGGUAAUUC
rnacentral:rRNA from 1 species